UACCUAUGAUGAUCCUAUCCCGAACCUGAAUUUCUGUUGAAAAAAAUAAAAUACGGAUCUGGCUUCUGAGAU
ensembl:snoRNA